GGUUGAGGAGGAAGGACUUCCCUGAGUGCUGCUCCCCCAGGACAGCGAGGAGGCAGACUGGGGUGUCCCUGGCCAGAGGGUGCUUCAGGCAGCGGUUGAUGGCCCCCAUCCUAAGGAUGAGGCCCCCAGAGGCAUUGAUGCGAACCAGCAGCAGCGGCUCCGCCCUCACAGGACACGUCUCCUGGGCCAGGAGAAGAGAGGGGCCCCUGAGCAUCCAGGACCAGCUCCUGACCCUGGAAUGUGUUCAGCCUGGAGCUCUGUGUCCUGAUGUUCUAGAAUAGGGCCAAAGCCACCCCCUCCUCUUGGGUCUGACUGAUUAGGCCCAGUCCCCAGACCUGCAGUGCAGGGGGCAGCGGCCGCUGCGGCAGGAGCUUCAUCUUCUCGCCCAGGCUCCGGAGGCCCCUCUUCUGCUUGCAUAUCUUCCGGCACUCAGGACAGCAGGGCGGCUCACAGCCCGGGAGACGGUGUGUGCUGAAGCACCGUAUGCAGAAGUCGUGGCCACAGUCCAGCGAGAUGGGGUCGCGCAACCUCUCCAGGCAGAUGGAGCAGCCUGGCGGAUCCAGCCUC
ensembl:lncRNA novel transcript, antisense to RNF112